rnacentral:tRNA from 1 species
CGGGGUGUGGCGCAGUUGGUAGCGCGUUACGUUCGGGACGUAGAGGUCGCAGGUUCGAGUCUUGUCACCCCGACCC